UGAAAUCUGGCUCUCGGGCCCGAGUUGUAAUUUGUAGAGGAUACUUUUGAUGCGGUGCCUUCCGAGUUCCCUGGAACGGGACGCCAUAGAGGGUGAGAGCCCCGUCUGGUUGGAUGCCAAAUCUCUGUAAAGUUCCUUCGACGAGUCGAGUAGUUUGGGAAUGCUGCUCUAAAUGGGAGGUAUAUGUCUUCUAAAGCUAAAUACCGGCCAGAGACCGAUAGCGCACAAGUAGAGUGAUCGAAAGAUGAAAAGCACUUUGAAAAGAGAGUUAAAAAGUACGUGAAAUUGUUGAAAGGGAAGCGUUUAUGACCAGACUUGGGCUUGGUUAAUCAUCUGGGGUUCUCCCCAGUGCACUUUUCCAGUCCAGGCCAGCAUCAGUUUUCCCCGGGGGAUAAAGACUUCGGGAAUGUGGCUCUCUUCGGGGAGUGUU
rnacentral:rRNA from 1 species